GGGCCUAUAGUUCAAUGGAUAGAACACCAGCCUUCUAAGCUGGUUAUGCAGGUUCGAUUCCUGCUGGGCCCA
rnacentral:tRNA from 1 species